UACGGGGGGAGCAAGCGUUGUUCGGAUUUACUGGGCGUAAAGGGCGCGUAGGCGGUCAGCACAAGUCAGUUGUGAAAUCUCCGGGCUUAACUCGGAAAGGUCAACUGAUACUGUGCGACUAGAGUGCAGAAGGGGCAACUGGAAUUCUCGGUGUAGCGGUGAAAUGCGUAGAUAUCGAGAGGAACACCUGCGGCGAAAGCGGCGUGCUGGAUUCCUACUGACGCUGAGGCACGAAAGCCAGGGGAGCAAACGGG
rnacentral:rRNA from 1 species